rnacentral:rRNA from 1 species
GUGGACGCCAGUCUGCAUGGAGCCGACCUUGAAAUACCACCCUUUAAUGUUUGAUGUUCUAACGUGGACCCGUAAUCCGGGUUGCGGACAGUGUCUGGUGGGUAGUUUGACUGGGGCGGUCUCCUCCUAAAGAGUAACGGAGGAGCACGAAGGUUGGCUAAUCCUGGUCGGACAUCAGGAGGUUAGUGCAAUGGCAUAAGCCAGCUUGACUGCGAGCGUGACGGCGCGAGCAGGUGCGAAAGCAGGUCAUAGUGAUCCGGUGGUUCUGAAUGGAAGGGCCAUCGCUCAACGGAUAAAAGGUACUCCGGGGAUAACAGGCUGAUACCGCCCAAGAGUUCAUAUCGACGGCGGUGUUUGGCACCUCGAUGUCGGCUCAUCACAUCCUGGGGCUGAAGUAGGUCCCAAGGGUAUGGCUGUUCGCCAUUUAAAGUGGUACGCGAGCUGGGUUUAGAACGUCGUGAGACAGUUCGGUCCCUAUCUGCCGUGGGCGCUGGAGAACUGAGGGGGGCUGCUCCUAGUACGAGAGGACCGGAGUGGACGCAUCACUGGUGUUCGGGUUGUCAUGCCAAUGGCACUGCCCGGUAGCUAAAUGCGGAAGAGAUAAGUGCUGAAAGCAUCUAAGCACGAAACUUGCCCCGAGAUGAGUUCUCCCUGAGACUUUAGGUCUCCUGAAGGAACGUUGAAGACGACGACGUUGAUAGGCCGGGUGUGUAAGCGCAGCGAUGCGUUGAGCUAACCGGUACUAAUGAACCGUGAGGCUUAACCU